AGAGUUUGAUCAUGGCUCAGAACGAACGUUGGCGGCGUGGAUUAGGCAUGCAAGUCGAGCGAAUCCCGAUCCUUCGGGUGAGGGGGAAGCGGCGAAAGGGGCAGUAAUGCGUGGGUAACCUACCCUCUGGUUCAGAAUAGCCUCCCUAACGGGUGGAUAAUGCUGAAUAAAGUGGCAACACCAAAGAUUUAUCGCCGGUGGAGGGGCUCACGUGGUAUUAGCUUGUUGGUGGGGUAACGGCCUACCAAGGCAAAGAUGCCUAGCUGGUGUGGGAGCAUGACCAGCGCCACUGGGACUGAGACACUGCCCAGACUCCUACGGGAGGCUGCAGUCGAGAAUCUUCGGCAAUGGGCGCAAGCCUGACCGAGCGACGCCGCGUGUGCGAAGAAGGCCUUCGGGUUGUAAAGCACUGUCAGAGGGGACCAAAGCUUCGGCUUGAGGUAUCCUCAGAGGAAGCACGGGCUAAGUUCGUGCCAGCAGCCGCGGUAAGACGAACCGUGCGAACGUUGUUCGGAAUCACUGGGCUUAAAGGGCGCGUAGGCGGGAAACAUAGUCGGCAGGUGAAAGCCCCCAGCUCAACUGGGGAAGUGCCUUCGAUACUGGUUUUCUCGAGGAAGGUAGGGGCACGUGGAACUUCCGGUGGAGCGGUGAAAUGCGUAGAGAUCGGAAGGAACGCCGGUGGCGAAAGCGACGUGCUGGACCUUUUCUGACGCUGAGGCGCGAAAGCUAGGGUAGCGAACGGGAUUAGAUACCCCGGUAGUCCUAGCCCUAAACGAUGAGCACUAGGUUGUGGACUUAACGUGGGUUCACAGCCGAAGCAAAAGUGUUAAGUGCUCCGCCUGGGGAGUAUGGUCGCAAGGCUGAAACUCAAAGGAAUUGACGGGGGCUCACACAAGCGGUGGAGCAUGUGGCUUAAUUCGAGGCUACGCGAAGAACCUUAUCCUGGGCUUGACAUGUGCGAAAGCGUCAGGAAGUAGAGUGCGGAAACGUUACUCCAACGGUAUCCAGUCCGGAACCUGAUACAGGUGCUGCAUGGCUGUCGUCAGCUCGUGUCGUGAGAUGUUGGGUUAAGUCCCGUAACGAGCGAAACCCUUGUCUCCAGUUGCCAGCGGGUCAUGCCGGGGACUCUGGAGAGACUGCCGGUGUUAAACCGGAGGAAGGUGGGGAUGACGUCAAGUCCUCAUGGCCUUUAUGUCCAGGGCUGCACACGUGCUACAAUGGCGUGAACAAAGGGAAGCCAACCCGCGAGGGGGAGCCAAUCCCAAAAAACACGCCCCAGUUCGGAUCGUAGGCUGCAACUCGCCUACGUGAAGUUGGAAUCGCUAGUAAUCGCAGGUCAGCUACACUGCGGUGAAUGUGUUCCUGAGCCUUGUAGACACCGCCCGUA
rnacentral:rRNA from 1 species